rnacentral:rRNA from 1 species
UACAGAGGUCCCAAGCGUUGUUCGGAUUCACUGGGCGUAAAGGGUGCGUAGGUGGUUAGGUAAGUCCGAUGUGAAAUCUCCAGGCUCAACCUGGAAAUGGCAUUGGAUACUAUCUAGCUUGAGGAGUGGAGGGGGGGACUGGAAUUCUCGGUGUAGCAGUGAAAUGCGUAGAUAUCGAGAGGAACACCAGUGGCGAAGGCGAGUCCCUGGACAGGUCCUGACGCUGAGGCACGAAAGCUAGGGGAGCAAACAGG